AGCGAACGCUGGCGGCAGGCUUAACACAUGCAAGUCGAACGGGCUUCUUCGGAAGUCAGUGGCAGACGGGUGAGUAACACGUGGGAACGUGCCCUUCGGUUCGGAAUAACUCAGGGAAACUUGAGCUAAUACCGGAUACGCCCUUUUGGGGAAAGGUUGACUGCCGAAGGAUCGGCCCGCGUCUGAUUAGCUUGUUGGUGGGGUAACGGCCUACCAAGGCGACGAUCAGUAGCUGGUCUGAGAGGAUGAUCAGCCACACUGGGACUGAGACGCGGCCCAGACUCCUACGGGAGGCAGCAGUGGGGAAUAUUGGACAAUGGGCGCAAGCCUGAUCCAGCCAUGCCGCGUGAGUGAUGAAGGCCUUAGGGUUGUAAAGCUCUUUUGUCCGGGACGAUAAUGACGGUACCGGAAGAAUAAGCCCCGGCUAACUUCGUG
rnacentral:rRNA from 1 species